AUGAAUCAAGAUUCUGUGCAACUGCAUUUUGCACAAAGAGUACUGUCACUGCUUCUUUCCUCUUUCAUUCAUUCAGACUUGCUGAAUUACACUUGUGCGACCUGUCACCUCAGCUACUUUCAUUUUUUUUCUUCAUUUCUCAUUCUCACAUUGUCCUUUUGUCCUCCUCUGCUUACCGUAGGGCAACCACACAGAUCUCUGCAGCAGCACCAGCAGUCUGCCUUCAGCCAGACUACAAAAUGGACGGGUGGAGGAAAGGUCAGAUUUCCUGGAAAAAGGGUCCAGGACAGCCUCCACCCUCUCUGCUGCAACUCUAGCAUCCCUUGGUGGAGGUUUAUCACGAAGAGGAAGCUGUGAUACCUCGAUUUCAGUGGACACUGAGGCCUCCAUACGGGAAAUGAAGGUAAUUGAAGGUGUAUUUAUAAUACUGUGUUAUAAUGACCAUGGUCUGUAUGUAAUUUCAUAAUUUUUGUUUGUCUGCUCUCAGGACUCCCUGGUGGAGGUGGAGGAGAAAUACCGUAAGGCAAUGGUGUCCAAUGCUCAGCUGGACAAUGAGAAGACAAACCUGAUGUAUCAGGUGGACACACUGAGAGAUACUCUGAUGGAGCUGGAGGAAUUUCUGUGUGAGACACGCAGAGAGUGUGAGGAGAAAAUCAGAGUAAGGGCUGUCAAGUGGUGAAAUCACUUUUUUUUUUUUUUAAAUCCUCUAGAAUAAUUGACCCUUGUACAAAUGACUAAUUGUUUUGAUUUUGUUCAAUACAAAAUAUG
ensembl:lncRNA